UCUAUGGUUCCGCGCGCUCUAGGGUUGCCUUUAGAAAGUGCCUUUGUGAAAGAAAAAGCCACUUUUAACUCCGCCGCUAAUGCCAGUAACAAAAGGCAUAAAGGAAACCAGCAUUUUCUCCCAGUGUUAUCUUUUUAUCUUGUCCUACUCUUUUUCUCGUCCUUCUCCUCUCCACUUAAUUUCUUGCCACGCAGGCCUCCUCUCUGGGCACCCCUCCGUGGAAGCCACCCAAGGUGGCGGGACUGCGAGUUCCCACGGGGUCCUUGGCUCGGUAGUCAAGGUGACCUAGGGAGGUUGGCCCUGGAGCUAGGUAAGGGUUGUCCUUAGGUUGGGGGAGGAAGGAAGUCUGGUUCUUCAGUCGUACCCUUUCCUCAGCAGUGGAGGCAGUGGACGACAUUUGCCUAAAAUUAUGUUGGCUGAUGUAGCUGAUGUCCUCAGGGCCCUGAGAUUCGUGGGCAUGGGCGGCGAAUCAGGAAGGUAUUUUGAAUCCACCGAGUCUAGAUUCUGCCCCAGGUGUUAAAGACAAAUGAUUUUUUUUCUGAAUGAAAUAUUUGAUACCCACCUCCACUCCGGUUUUUAUAAGUUAUGGAAAUCAAAUGUGACUUAAAAUUGAGAACUGGGGAGUUCCCAUCAUGGCUCAGCAGUUAACGAAUCUGACUAGCAUCCAUGAGAAUGAAGAUUCGAUCCCUGACCUUGCUCAGUGGGCUACGGAUCCAGCGCUGCCGUGAGCUGUGAUGUUGGUUGCAGACACAGCUCGGAUCCUGCGUCGCUGUGGCUGCAACUACAGCUCCGAUUCGACCUCUAGCCUGGGAACCUCCAUAUGCAGCAGCUGCAGCCCUAAAAAGCAAAAACAAACAAAAAACUGAGAAGUGUUUGGCCCUUUACCUGUUAUCGCACUUAACCACUUAACACCAAGGUGUACCAUUAUUCCCAUUCUACAUCAAGCGAAAAGGAUUUAGAGAAUUAAAGCAACAUGUGCAAAGCAAUGGAGUUUGUAAAGUGACAGAGCCAGAGAAAAAACACUUACUUAUUCUCUACUAAAUCCUGUCUCCAUGCUUAAAGAGUGGUUAAUAAACACACUAUGGAUCACC